rnacentral:rRNA from 1 species
UGGGGAAUAUUGCACAAUGGAGGGAACUCUGAUGCAGCGACGCCGCGUGAGUGAUGAAGGAAUUCGUUUCGUAAAACUCUGUUCUAUGGGAAGAAAAGGACUGUACUAUAGGAGAAAGCUCCGGCUAAAUACGUGCCAGCAGCCGCGGUACUACGUAUGGAGCGAGCGUUGUCCGGAAUUAUUGGGCGUAAAGGGUGCGCAGGCGGCUUUACAAGUUGGAUGUGAAAUAUUGUGGCUCAACCAGAAACGUGCAUCCAAAACUGCAAAGCUGGAGGUAAGGAGAGGUAAGUGGAAUUCCGGGUGAAGCGGUGGAAUGCGUAGAUAUCAGGAGGAAUACCGGUGGCGAAGGCGACUUACGGGACUGAAACGGACGCUAAGGCACGAAAGCGUGGGGAGCAAACAGG